rnacentral:rRNA from 1 species
GGGUGUGAUCAUACUAGCGUUAAUGCACCAGAUCCCAUCAGAACACCGUAGUUAAGCGCGCUUGUGCUAGAGUAGUACUGGGAUGGGUGACCUCACGGGGAGUCCUAGUGUUGCACCAU